rnacentral:rRNA from 1 species
AAAAGGAAGUGAUUCCGGCGGAGGAUGGGCAUGCGGCGCAUUAGCUGGUUGGCGGGGUAACGGCCCACCAAGGCGACGAUGCGUAGGGGUUCUGAGAGGAAGGUCCCCCACACUGGUACUGAGACACGGACCAGACUCCUACGGGAGGCAGCAGUGAGGAAUAUUGGUCAAUGGGCGGGAGCCUGAACCAGCCAAGUCGCGUGAGGGAAGACGGUCCUAUGGAUUGUAAACCUCUUUAGGCGGGGAGCAAUGCCGGGCACGCGUGCCCGGAGGGAGAGUACCCGCAGAAUAAGCAUCGGCUAACUCCGUGCCAGCAGCCGCGGUAAUACGGAGGAUGCGAGCGUUAUCCGGAUUUAUUGGGUUUAAAGAGUGCGUAGGCGGAUUUUUAAGUCAGCGGUAAAAUGUCCGGGCUCAACCCGGGCCGGCCGUUGAAACUGGGGAUCUUGAGUGGGCGAGAAGUAUGCGGAAUGCGUGGUGUAGCGGUGAAAUGCAUAGAUAUCACGCAGAACUCCGAUUGCGAAGGCAGCAUACCGGCGCCCGACUGACGCUGAGGCACGAAAGCGUGGGGAUCGAACAGGAUUAGAUACCCUGGUAGUCCACGCAGUAAACGAUGAAUGCUAGUUGUCCGGUUCUU